rfam:Paenibacillus yonginensis strain DCY84 chromosome, complete genome.
ACUUCCCCAGAUUUUCCGUCGUAGUGUCCGAAUGGACAGGGAACCUUGACAGAGUGAUAGCUUCCAAGCUAUCCGCGCAGUAAAGCUACACCUGGGUGCGCCAGAUGUCUCGU